UCCCUGAUGGUCCAGUGGUUAAGACGCUGUACUUCCACUGCAGGGGGGUGCAGGUUUAAUCCCUGGUUAGAGGG
rnacentral:tRNA from 1 species